rnacentral:rRNA from 1 species
AGUCAUUGUAGCAAUACAAGGCAGACGGCUCAGUAACACGUAGUCAAUCUACCCUAUUGACGGGGAUAACCUCGGGAAACUGAGAAUAAUACCCGAUAGGCCAUUAUGCCUGGAAUGGUUUAUGGCUGAAAUGAUUUAUCGCAAUAGGAUGGGACUGCGGCCUAUCAGUUUGUUGGUGAGGUAAUGGCCCACCAAGACUAUUACAGGUACGGGCUCUGAGAGGAGAAGCCCGGAGAUGGGUACUGAGACACGGACCCAGGCCCUAUGGGGCGCAGCAGGCGAGAAAACUUUGCAAUGUGCGAAAGCACGACAAGGUUAAUCCGAGUGUUUCCUGCUAAAGGAAUCUUUUGUCAGUCCUAAAAACACUGAUGAAUAAGGGGUGGGCAAGUUCUGGUGUCAGCCGCCGCGGUAAAACCAGCACCUCAAGUGGUCAGGAGGAUUAUUGGGCCUAAAGCAUCCGUAGCCGGCUGCACAAGUCUUCGGUUAAAUUCAUAUGCUCAACAUAUGGGCUGCCGGAGAUACUGUGCAGCUAUGGAGUGGGAGAGGUGGACGGUACUCGAUAGGAAGGGGUAAAAUCCUUUGAUCUAUUGAUGACCACCUGUGGCGAA